CCCUUAGAUGUUCUGGGCCGCACGCGCGCUACACUGAUCAGUGCAACAAGCAUCCGUCCUUGGCCGACAGGCCCGGGCAAUCUUUGAACGCUGAUCGUGAUGGGGAUAGAUUAUUGCAAUUAUUAAUCUUCAACGAGGAAUGCCUAGUAAGCGCAAGUCAUCAGCUUGCGUUGAUUACGUCCCUGCCCUUUGUACACACCGCCCGUCGCUCCUACCGAUUGAAUGGUCCGGUGAAGCGUUCGGACCGUGGCCUUUGGACGGUUCGCCGUCUGUUGGCUGCGGGAAGUUCGUUAAACCUUAUCAUUUAGAGGAAGGAGAAGUCGUAACA
rnacentral:rRNA from 1 species